UUUCGGAUCGCGGCGACGCCGGCGGUUCGCCGCCGGUGUUGUUGUGAGAAGUUCAUUAAACCUUAUCAUUUAGAGGAAGGAGAAGUCGUAACAAGGUUUCCGUAGGUGAACCUGCGGAAGGAUCAUUGAACACACGAUCUCGGAAAAACUUUGCGAACCGUUGAUGUACCCCGAGGGAUCGUGUCCGGAGACACGAUAGUCGAUGUGGGAGUCCGGAUACAUGUGCACUCGCCGUGAUCCUUCCCGUUGGUGCGCGGCGGGAUUCAAAGCGACUCCAGUCACGUCGUCGGAUUGCCCCUUGUCACGCAUGGGUCCGGGUUCUCUCUCGGGAGAAUCCGGACUCGAGGCAGUCCCCUCCUCCGCGGGAGGGAGGGUUCCCGACACGGAGUCUCUCCUCCGCCUCCCAAGGCAAGCGAGAGUUCCGGACGGGACCGCCCUCUCUCCGCGGGGCCCUUUUUUUCUCUCAAGAGCAACACUUGUGAACCGAUCAAAGGAUGGAUUGAACCGGAGGGGACUCGGAGCCGUCUCGGCGAUUCCGAGUCUCUUCGGGACAAGCGAGUUAACACAAAAUGACUCUCAGCAACGGAUAUCUUGGCUCUUGCAACGAUGAAGAACGCAGCGAAAUGCGAUACCUAGUGUGAAUUGCAGAAUUCCGCGAAUCAUCGAGUUUUUGAACGCAAGUUGCGCCCGAGGCUCGUCCGAGGGCAUGCCUGCCUGAGCGUCCUUUCCGACCCACCCACCAGCCUUCCUCUCUCUCGCGGGAGGGGAAGCCAGAAGUGCGAGUGGAAUUGGUCGUCCGGGAACCCGGUCGUCUUUGGGACGAUCCGAGGAUUCGCGGUUGGCUGAAAAGUGAGAGCCGUCCGUCAAGCGCGCGCCGGGGGAACGGUGCGUUGCGAGAAGGUGGCGUCCGUCUCCGGGCGGACGUUGGUUACAAAGCUUCGUGCCUCCCCCUGCGGAGUCGGGACUUUGACGGAUCGGCGACAAAUCAUGGGAGCGGGAGGGCUCGGAGAAUCCUCUCUUUCCGUCUCGGACUUUUCUCUCUUCGCGGGGAAGAGAGUCCGAGGAAGGAUCGACGGGGUCCCGGGUCCGAACGUUGCGUUGCUCGGACCUCAGAUCAGGCAAGACCACCCGCUGAGUUUAAGCAUAUCACUAAGCGGAGGAAAAGAAACUAACAAGGAUUUCCUUAGUAACGGCGAGCGAACCGGAAGUAGC
rnacentral:rRNA from 1 species